rnacentral:lncRNA from 1 species
UAAUUGAAAUGCUUAUAACACUUUUAACAGCAGUGCAUAAUUCAAAGAAUUUCACAAAAUACCCUACUGGCGUCCCAAGUAGGUCACCUAUAUACCCCAUCAGCGUCCUGAUGGGUCCACUUAAUCCCUGUCGACGUCCCAGAUAGAUCCACUUAAUCCCUGUAGGUCCACUUAUACCUCACCGGCGUACCGGAUGAGUCCACUUAAUCCCUACCGGCGUCCCAGAUAGGUCCAC